CAUAUGAUUUAUAUCAACAAUAUUUAAUAAAAUUUUAUGAAAAUAAUGUAUAUACGUUUCCAGAAGAACGAUAAGUGUAGUGACAUGAAUUGUAGUUUUUCGCCCAUUUGUCUGUUCUUAAGCGUAUCACAGCCAUAAAUUUAAAUUGAUGUAUACCAAAAUUUGCAAAUAGACAUGCUGUUUACUUAGAUAAACCAAAAAAAAUGUAAAUUUGGAUGACAUUGACCUUGUUGACUUUUUUACAACCUUUAUAUAGCAAAAGAGGUCAAAAUUACAGGUUAAAGUCAUGCCAAAAGGUCAAAAACUCAUAAUCUACAAUCGCUUUUGAACCGAUUGAGAUACAGAGCUGAUAUUAUCUCUUUGGGGCACACAAUAUACAAUAUUAUAUAUUCAAGUAUGAAUUUAGUUUUUAGUUCAUAACUCUUCAGUUUCUAACAUUCAAAAUAAUUUUUUAAAUACUUAAAUGUAGCCCAAAAACUGUAUAAGUGAUUUUAACAUUUUUUAAAGGAUAUAUUUGUCCAAAAAAUAUACAGAGAAAAAUCACCCAGAUUAGUCCUAAAACUAAAAAAAUAGAAAUUAGGUACAACUUUUUGUAUAGACUCAUUCAAUACAUAAAAGCGGGAGCGUUGCUAGGUUUCACCAUUUAGGGGCUAGUCCCAAAAAUUAUCAAAAACUUCAUACAAAUAGCUUUAUUUUAUAUAUACACUAUCGUUAUUACCUGGCAUAACCCGGAGUAAUCAUACGUCGUCUAAAAAACAAAUUUUGUUUUAUUGCUAUAGGAGAUAACUCGCCAAGUAAUCCUCAAUUUUACUUUCCGUUUUUCAUGAGCAUCCUGACAUGAAACAAUUCAAUACAUAUAUCAAUUUAUAUCUGGGAUAAAAUAAAGAGGGAUGAAGUACGCCUCACUCUCUAAAAUUGCUUAGGGGAAAAAAGAAAUUAUUCUAUUCUUUAAAUUCUUCUUAUUUGAAUAGAAUAUCUCUCCAAAGACAAGGAUACAAUGGUUAAUUAUUGCCAGACGUGGGAACUUGGACUCGAGACUUGACUUGGAAUCCAUAGCUAAGUCUUGCGACUCGACUUGGUCUUCAAAGCUAGUAUAUUGCAGACUCAGGGGAAGCCUUAACAAUAUGGACACUUGAUUAUAGUUUUUGAUUUGAAAUGAGCUUGAAUUAUAUCUGAGGACUCGAUGAAAAUAUUCAAUGACUUAGACAUGACUUGAGAUUCGACGUCGACUUACAGUAUAUGGUCUUUUCCUCUACUUAUAUUAAUGCUGUAUCGUAUGCUCCAGGAGUGGAACCGACACUCCAAAAUCUUUGGAGGCUAUUGAUUAAGGAUAUCUGUAGAAAGGAAACCUACUAUAAUUAAUGUGUGUGCUCAUUACAUUUUUGAAUAAGGACUUUGAAGACGACCUAUAGGUUAACAAAUCCGACUUUUCUACAUGCUUGGCCUAUUAAAAAGAAGCAAACUAAAAAAGAUAUAGUUCCAUCAAUCAUUUUACUCGAAACGCACACCUUAAUCUUGCGAAAGGUGAAAUACGAAUUGGGCAUCUUCUGAAACAAGACGCAGUAAAUAAUUGGAAUUAUUAAAUUAGCAAAUAGACGUGUUUCACUUUUCCAAUCAACUCAAUAGUGUGUCAGUCAUCCAAUUAAGGUUGUUUUUAGAGCAAGAGCUUACUUUUUAUUCUUAUCAAAAUCAUAAUAAGUUUUGUGUUUAUUGUGAGGUCAAAUAAAUUUAAGAUUGUUGAUGCAAUUCAUAUCGUCAUAGAUUAUUUAAAAGUUAUUCUUGUGUAAGAAGACUAUAAUGUGGAACCAAAAGAGAUCAUUACAAAAUUGAUUUCUUCUAAUGUAUCGUAUACCAAUAAGUUAAAAUUUCCGAAUUUUGCUCCCUUCAUCAUCAAUAAGGAUAGAGGAAGACUAAUAUAUACAAUGGACCUUGUUUAUAAGUGCUAUAUGAGUAGUAAAAUUAUUUGAUGAUUUAUAAAUUGAUUGAAUUAAUAGCUUAGAAACGUUUACUUUCAUAGUUAAAAGUCCCUCUAUUAAUGAGCUAGAAAAUAGGAAAUGCAAGAGACAUAGUGAUCCUGGAGCAAAUAGAAGAGUGAAUAAACCAUCAAAUGUAUCUUAAAUUCAUUGUAUGUGUUUAAAUCCAAAAAUUAUUGUAUUUUAUAUUAUAAUUGUAUCUAUAAUAUUGUAGCAAGUAAAUGUGCAUUUUAUUUCUGUAGUCAGGGUGAAAUAUUAUUUAUACUCCACUAAAUUUUUUUCUAUGAGGGCAUUUAAAAAAAUCAUAGGGAUAUUAUUAUCUAAACUGGAGUCUUGAAUGUAUUAUUAUUAGUUUUAAUUGGCUUAUAUGAUGCUAAUAAAUUUUGUUCUACAUUA
rnacentral:lncRNA from 1 species